AGCUUGCUUCUGAUUGAUAACAUUUGAGUGAGUGGCGGACGGGUGAGUAACACGUGGGUAACCUGCCCUAAAGUGGGGGAUAACAUUUGGAAACAGAUGCUAAUACCGCAUAAAACCUAGCACCGCAUGGUGCAAGGUUGAAAGAUGGUUUCGGCUAUCACUUUAGGAUGGACCCGCGGUGCAUUAGUUAGUUGGUGAGGUAAAGGCUCACCAAGACCGUGAUGCAUAGCCGACCUGAGAGGGUAAUCGGCCACACUGGGACUGAGACACGGCCCAGACUCCUACGGGAGGCAGCAGUAGGGAAUCUUCCACAAUGGACGAAAGUCUGAUGGAGCAACGCCGCGUGAGUGAAGAAGGUUUUCGGAUCGUAAAACUCUGUUGUUGGAGAAGAACGUAUUUGAUAGUAACUGAUCAGGUAGUGACGGUAUCCAACCAGAAAGCCACGGCUAACUACGUGCCAGCAGCCGCGGUAAUACGUAGGUGGCAAGCGUUGUCCGGAUUUAUUGGGCGUAAAGCGAGCGCAGGCGGUUUCUUAAGUCUGAUGUGAAAGCCUUCGGCUCAACCGAAGAAGUGCAUCGGAAACUGGGAAACUUGAGUGCAGAAGAGGACAGUGGAACUCCAUGUGUAGCGGUGAAAUGCGUAGAUAUAUGGAAGAACACCAGUGGCGAAGGCGGCUGUCUGGUCUGUAACUGACGCUGAGGCUCGAAAGCAUGGGUAGCAAACAGGAUUAGAUACCCUGGUAGUCCAUGCCGUAAACGAUGAGUGCUAGGUGUUGGAGGGUUUCCGCCCUUCAGUGCCGCAGCUAACGCAUUAAGCACUCCGCCUGGGGAGUACGACCGCAAGGUUGAAACUCAAAGGAAUUGACGGGGGCCCGCACAAGCGGUGGAGCAUGUGGUUUAAUUCGAAGCAACGCGAAGAACCUUACCAGGUCUUGACAUCCUUUGACCACUCUAGAGAUAGAGCUUUCCCUUCGGGGACAAAGUGACAGGUGGUGCAUGGUUGUCGUCAGCUCGUGUCGUGAGAUGUUGGGGUUAAGUCCCGCAACGAGCGCCACCCUUAUUACUAGUUGCCAGCAUUUAGU
rnacentral:rRNA from 1 species